GCGGGGCGUCCGGUCUCAUCGCGACGUGCUGGCGGGAGCCUGUGGGGAGAAAGUGGGCAGCUUCAGCGGCGGCAGCGGCGGCGGCGGCGGGCGGGGUGGGGCCCAGCCGCUCCCGCGCCCCCUCGGGAGCCCCGGCGCUCUCACCAGUGUGAAGGCAUCGUAGGCCUGCGCCAGCUCCUCCGUGCGGUACUGCUCUAGCACCACCACGCCCUGUAGGCCCGCGCUGCGACGGCGUGCACAGCCCUCGCAGUGCACCAGGCUCUCCCGCUGCACCUGACAGUGCUUCAUUGACUGCAGGAGGCAGAACCUGAACAAGACCCAAAGGGCUCACUUCUCAUACCCUUCACUGUACCAUGAUGAACCCAAGCCCAGCCUCUCACCGGUGAGGGGCCCCACGUUCCAGGCGAUGUUGUUGCACCAGCCAGUAGCCUGCACCCAAUGCACAGUCCCUGCAUUAAUCCACACAAGGUCUCCAGGGCGCUGCACGAAGCGGUAAACAGGAAUAUUGGACGCAUAGAGGUCAUCCAAGAUUGGCCACCAGGAACCAGUCAAGUAGUCUACACCAUGCCUGUGGAGUGGGCAGUCACAGAGUCAAGAGGGAAACCCAAGGACCCGAGGUGAUGGGGUGACUAGCAAGGGGUGGUGCGCACCGAUCGCAGAAGGCGCUGAUGGUCUCCCAAUAGUGCUCAUGUACCGCGAACCACUCACAGUCUCCAGGGCCAAUGUUGAUAUUGACAGAGCAGAAAUUGUUAUUCUCUUGGUGGCCUGCAGAGGGAGAUAGAACGUCACGGACGGUCUGAUGCAAGCUCCCAAGGAGCGACAACCCCGCCCUUUGCCCUCAUUGGCUAAGCACUGAGUGCGCACAGCCAGCGCAGUGCACAUGCACGCGCA